rnacentral:lncRNA from 1 species
GGGGCUGGACGCUGCAAAACCACUCGACGUGGCUCCAAUGACUUACCUGUCGCACAAGCUCGGGGGCUGGACACCGCAAAACUACUCGAAUGAUGACCUGAGUGAAGAUUCAAGACCCUCGGGUUGAUUAUUCAAUCAAUCCAAGGCUCAGGGGCUGAUAAGCUACACCCAACAAUCGAUUUUUUCAAGUCGAAAGAGAAAG